rnacentral:rRNA from 1 species
GAUGAACGCUGGCGGCGUGCCUAAUACAUGCAAGUCGAGCGAACGGACGAGAAGCUUGCUUCUCUGAUGUUAGCGGCGGACGGGUGAGUAACACGUGGCUAACCUACCUAUAAGACUGGGAUAACUUCGGGAAACCGUAGCUAAUACCGGAUAAUAUUUUGAACCGCAUGGUUCAAAAGUGAAAGACGGUCUUGCUGUCACUUAUAGAUGGAUCCGCGCUGCAUUAGCUAGUUGGUAAGGUAACGGCUUACCAAGGCAACGAUGCAUAGCCGACCUGAGAGGGUGAUCGGCCACACGGGAACUGAGACACGGUCCAUACUCCUACGGGAGGCAGCAGUAGGGAAUCUGCCGCAAUGGGCGAAAGCCUGACGGAGCAACGCCGCGUGAGUGAUGAAGGUCUUCGGAUCGUAAAACUCUGUUAUUAGGGAAGAACAUAUGUGUAAGUAACUGUGCACAUCUUGACGGUACCUAAUCAGAAAGCCACGGCUAACUACGUG